rnacentral:rRNA from 1 species
GCCUAAUACAUGCAAGUAGAACGCUGAAGAGAGGAGCUUGCUCUUCUUGGAUGAGUUGCGAACGGGUGAGUAACGCGUAGGUAACCUGCCUUGUAGCGGGGGAUAACUAUUGGAAACGAUAGCUAAUACCGCAUAACAAUGGAUGACACAUGUCAUUUAUUUGAAAGGGGCAAUUGCUCCACUACAAGAUGGACCUGCGUUGUAUUAGCUAGUAGGUGAGGUAACGGCUCACCUAGGCGACGAUACAUAGCCGACCUGAGAGGGUGAUCGGCCACACUGGGACUGAGACACGGCCCAGACUCCUACGGGAGGCAGCAGUAGGGAAUCUUCGGCAAUGGGGGCAACCCUGACCGAGCAACGCCGCGUGAGUGAAGAAGGUUUUCGGAUCGUAAAGCUCUGUUGUAAGUCAAGAACGAGUGUGAGAGUGGAAAGUUCACACUGUGACGGUAGCUUACCAGAAAGGGACGGCUAACUACGUGCCAGCAGCCGCGGUAAUACGUAGGUCCCGAGCGUUGUCCGGAUUUAUUGGGCGUAAAGCGAGCGCAGGCGGUUUGAUAAGUCUGAAGUUAAAGGCUGUGGCUCAACCAUAGUUCGCUUUGGAAACUGUCAAACUUGAGUGCAGAAGGGGAGAGUGGAAUUCCAUGUGUAGCGGUGAAAUGCGUAGAUAUAUGGAGGAACACCGGUGGCAAAAGCGGCUCUCUGGUCUGUAACUGACGCUGAGGCUCGAAAGCGUGGGGAGCGAACAGGAUUAGAUACCCUGGUAGUCCACGCCGUAAACGAUGAGUGCUAGGUGUUGGAUCCUUUCCGGGAUUCAGUGCCGCAGCUAACGCAUUAAGCACUCCGCCUGGGGAGUACGACCGCAAGGUUGAAACUCAAAGGAAUUGACGGGGGCCCGCACAAGCGGUGGAGCAUGUGGUUUAAUUCGAAGCAACGCGAAGAACCUUACCAGGUCUUGACAUCCCGAUGCUAUUUCUAGAGAUAGAAAGUUACUUCGGUACAUCGGUGACAGGUGGUGCAUGGUUGUCGUCAGCUCGUGUCGUGAGAUGUUGGGUUAAGUCCCGCAACGAGCGCAACCCCUAUUGUUAGUUGCCAUCAUUCAGUUGGGCACUCUAGCGAGACUGCCGGUAAUAAACCGGAGGAAGGUGGGGAUGACGUCAAGUCAUCAUGCCCCUUAUGACCUGGGCUACACACGUGCUACAAUGGUUGGUACAACGAGUUGCGAGUCGGUGACGGCAAGCUAAUCUCUUAAAGCCAAUCUCAGUUCGGAUUGUAGGCUGCAACUCGCCUACAUGAAGUCGGAAUCGCUAGUAAUCGCGGAUCAGCACGCCGCGGUGAAUACGUUCCCGGGCCUUGUACACACCGCCCGUCACACCACGAGAGUUUGUAACACCCGAAGUCGGUGAGGUAACCUUUUGGAGCCAGCCGCCUAAGGUGGGAUAGAUGAUUGGGGUGAAGUCGU